rnacentral:rRNA from 1 species
UACGAAGGGGGGCUAGCGUUGCUCGGAAUCACUGGGCGUAAAGCGCACGUAGGCGGAUUGUUAAGUCAGGGGUGAAAUCCCGGAGCUCAACUCCGGAACUGCCUUUGAUACUGGCAAUCUUGAGGCUGGAAGAGGUUAGUGGAAUUCCCAGUGUAGAGGUGAAAUUCGUAGAUAUUGGGAAGAACACCAGUGGCGAAGGCGGCUAACUGGUCCAGAUCUGACGCUGAGGUGCGAAAGCGUGGGGAGCAAACAGG